ensembl:lncRNA
GGUAACCUUCCACAUGGAGACAUGGGUUUUUGUUCUUCGGCCUUUCCUUGAGGUAACCUUCCACAUGGAGACAUGGGUUUUUGUUCUUCGGCCUUUCCUUGAGGUAACCUUCCACAUGGAGACAUGGGGUUUGUUCUUCGGCCUUUCCUUGAGGUAAUCUUCCACAUGGAGACAUGGGGUUUGUUCUUCGGCCUUUCCUUGAGGUAACCUUCCACAUGGAGACAUGGGGUUUGUUCUUCGGCCUUUCCUUGAGGUAACCUUCCACAUGGAGACAUGGGGUUUGUUCUUCGGCCUUUCCUUGAGGUAAUCUUCCACAUGGAGACAUGGGGUUUGUUCUUCGGCCUUUCCUUGAGGUAACCUUCC